rnacentral:lncRNA from 1 species
UUGGAUAAGUUCUUUUUGGUCUAAGGUAUUUUUCCACCUCUUUAUAUAUGAUGUUUGAUAAAUUUAGUGGAAAGAUUGUUAGAAGAUUGUAUGUAAGGAGUGAGAAUCUCAGUGUGUACCGUACCGAACUUCUAAAAUUAUGAAGUUUCGGUGGAUGUUGGUUUGGAAAGCCAUUAGAAUGGUUCCGGUGAAAUUCGGAAGCAUUCGGGCGUUUCGGUGCGCGUUGGCGUGAAAACGGAAUUCGAAAGGCUGUGUUGGGCUGUGAACUAAAUCUGGCAUCAGCGUAGAUGAAAUGAUGAUUUAAAUACGCUCGAAAA